rnacentral:lncRNA from 1 species
AUAUUCUGAUGUAUAUGGAUAGUGCUUUCUAGGCCAUACUGUGGUACCUGGUCACUUUUUAACAUAAAGGGGGAAAGCUGCUGAUUAUAUAAUUAAAUCAGACAAACCACAUCAUUUAAGCAUUAAAAAACCUCCUUUGAAGCCUGAAUUCUUGGUUUUCCCAUUAUAUCAGCCAGAUACCUUGUCAAACGGUGCCUUUUGUUUUAUAGGCAUUAUAUAUGCAACUUAGAUUACUGCCUUUUUCCUUUAUUCCUGUGCUCAUAAGCAUACCCCGAAUCCCUAAAAAAAAACCCCCGAUUUUCUUCUUUUUCUUGAUUAUACAACUUCUAAAAGAUUGCUUUGGGCUGGGCGCAGUGGCUCAUGCCUAUAAAUCCAGCACUUUGGGAGGCCAAGGUGGGCGGAUUACCUGACGUCAGGAGUUCAAGACCAGCCUGGCCAACAUGGUGAAACCCCGUCUCUACUAAAAAUACAAAAAUUAGCGGGGCGUGGUGGCAGCUGCCUGUAAUCCCAGGUACUGAGGUCGGCGAAUCGCUUGAACCCAGGAAGCUGAGGUGACAUGGCUGGACUGCAGUGGCAUACUCAUUGCUCACUGCAGCCUCAACUUCCCAGGCUCAAGUGGUCUUUCCACCUCAGCCUCUUUAGUAGCUGGGACUACAGGUGUGUACCACCAUGUCCCAUGAAUUUUUUGUAUUUUUUGUAGAGAUGAGGUCCUACUAUGUUGCCUAGGCCGGUCUUGAACUCUUGUCUCAGGUGAUUCACCUGCCUCAGCCUCCCAAAGUAAGCCACUGCCCCCAGCCAAUUUUCAUUAUUUUGCAAAUAGUUUGAUGUUAUAUUUGUUUUCCUCUUUGACUUAAUAUUAUUUUAUU